GUUUAAGUAGCUUAAAUUUAAAGCGUAAUAUUGAAGCUAUUAAUAUAGGAAUUUUCCUCUUAGACA
rnacentral:tRNA from 1 species